GUGAGAAGAGGUAUUUGAGUUUUGAGUCUCUUGUGUUUUGUCCACGCAGAGUUUCCGUAGCUCAGUCGGUCUCAUAACAUUCUCACUGCAAGUCAAACUCCGGAGUGUUAAAGUUUAUAAACUAUCAUUUUGGUCUCUGACGAAUAUCUGUCUUUUUACAGUCCUUUCAGUAAAACACCACAAAACAGCAAGAAGCUUCUGGUUCUUUAUUGGAAACUGUUAGCUAUCUGUAAAGCUAGUUCAUGCACACUAGUGAAGGCAGAAUAGUAAAAAGACAGCAUGGAAAGUCAGCCAAAGUCGACACGGAAGACAACACUGCUGUCCCUGAUCGCCAAAGUUCAGUCAGCAACGUUGGUGACCUGUGGGAAACGAGAUCGAACUGUUCCGAAACUUCACGUGCCAGCCAGCAGUCACGCGCCAGUCAGCGGUCACGCGCCAGUCAGUGGUCUAAUGCAAGCGUUUUGGCUGCUAAAGCACGUGCUAAAGCAGCUGCCGCUCAAG